AACGAACGCUGGCGGCAUGCCUAACACAUGCAAGUCGAACGAGACCUUCGGGUCUAGUGGCGCACGGGUGCGUAACGCGUGGGAACCUGCCCUUAGGUUCGGAAUAACUCCCCGAAAGGGGUGCUAAUACCGGAUAAUGUCUUCGGACCAAAGUUUUAUCGCCUUUGGAUGGGCCCGCGUUGGAUUAGCUAGUUGGUAGGGUAAAAGCCUACCAAGGCGACGAUCCAUAGCUGGUCUGAGAGGAUGAUCAGCCACACUGGGACUGAGACACGGCCCAGACUCCUACGGGAGGCAGCAGUGGGGAAUAUUGGACAAUGGGCGAAAGCCUGAUCCAGCAAUGCCGCGUGAGUGAUGAAGGCCUUAGGGUUGUAAAGCUAUUUUACCCGGGAUGAUAAUGACAGUACCGGGAGAAUAAGCUCCGGCUAACUCCGUG
rnacentral:rRNA from 1 species